AAUCUAUCCCUCCAUUGCACAAUACAUGCCUUCUAUUUGUCAAAAUAUAUAUGUAUCUAGACAUGUCUUAGUAUAUAGGUACAUCCAUUUUUGGACAAAUGGAAGUCAAGUAUUUUGGAACGGAGGGAGUACACA
rnacentral:pre_miRNA from 1 species